rnacentral:lncRNA from 1 species
UGCUCCAGAGUCCAAUGGCGGUGAGCUUAACAUAAAUCCAGCAGAUGCUUGGCAUUGCUCAUGGUGAUUUUAGGCUUGUGCGGCUGCUCGACCAUGUAUACUGUUUGUCUCAUGAAAUGGGUUCUUGUGCUGACGUUGCUUCCAGAGGCAGUUUGAAACUCGGUAGUGAGUGUCGCAACCGAGGACAGACGAUUUUUACGUGCUUUAGCACUCAGCGGUCCUAUUCUGUGAGCUUGUGUGACCUACCACUUUGUGGAUACUGUCAUGCCCUGACCGUAGUGAUCCUUAUUAUUCUCUAUGUUUGUCUAUGUUUUCUGUUUCUUUGUUUUUGGGCCGAGUGUGGUUCCCAAUCAGAGGCAGCUGUCUAUCGUUGUCUCUGAUUGGGAAUCAUACUUUGGCAGCCUGUUUUCCACCUAUGUUUGUGGGAGGUUCUUUUCUGUUUAGCAUUCUGAGCCUGACAGAACUGUUCGCUUUUGUUUUGUUGCUUUUGGUUAUUCUUGUUUGAGUGUUUCUUGAAUAAAGUAUCAUGAACACUUACCACGCUGCGCCUUGGUCCACUUCUCCUUCCAACGACGAGCGUUACAGAUACUUCGUUUCCACUUCACAAUAACAGCACUUACAGUUGACCGGGGCAGCUCUAGCAGGGCAGAAAUUUGAUGAACUGACUUGUUGGAAAGGUGGCAUCCUACAGUAUUACAGUGCCGUGUUGAAAGUCAUUGAGUUCUUCAGUAAGGUCAUUAUACUGCCAAUGUUUGUCUAUGGAGAUUGCAUGGCUGUGUUUCGAUUUCAUACACCUGUCAGCAACAGGUGUGGUUGAAAUAGCAGAAUCCUCUCAUUUGAAGGGGUGUCCACAUACUUUGUGUAUGUUGGUAGCUCUUGUCCUCAUUGACCCAUUGCCAUUCUCCUUGUCCUUAUUGUGACCUGACGGAUCCCUGGGAUUCCUAACAACACAUGCACUUCAACUACUCUGAGGACCUUCAAUGGAUUGAUCUGGAAUUCUAG